rnacentral:rRNA from 1 species
UACGUAGGGGGCAAGCGUUGUCCGGAUUUAUUGGGCGUAAAGAGCGUGUAGGCGGCCAUACAGGUCAGCUGUGAAAACUCGAGGCUCAACCUCGAGACGUCGGUUGAAACCGUAUGGCUAGAGUCCGGAAGAGGAGAGUGGAAUUCCCGGUGUAGCGGUGAAAUGCGCAGAUAUCGGGAAGAACACCAGUAGCGAAGGCGACACUCUGGGCCGGAACUGACGCUGAGGCACGAAAGCGUGGGGAGCAAACAGG